rnacentral:snRNA from 1 species
AAGACUACCCUUUCAGGAAUCAUUGGUAUAGUUCCUUUUCAGAGACGUUUGUCUGAACAUGUAGAACCCAGAAGAAUCUAGAGAAAG